AUUGAACGCUGGCGGCGUGCUUAACACAUGCAAGUCGAACGCGAAAGGGACUUCGGUCCUGAGUAAAGUGGCGCACGGGUGAGUAACGCGUGGAUAAUCUGCCCUUAUGAUCGGGAUAACAGUUGGAAACGGCUGCUAAUACCGGAUACGCUCAAAAUGAACUUUUUGAGGAAAGAUGGCCUCUGCUUGCAUGCUAUCACGUAAGGAUGAGUCCGCGUCCCAUUAGCUUGUUGGCGGGUAACGGCCCACCAAGGCAACGAUGGGUAGCCGAUUUGAGAGGAUGAUCGGCCACACUGGAACUGAAACACGGUCCAGACUCCUACGGGAGGCAGCAGUGGGGAAUAUUGCGCAAUGGGCGAAAGCCUGACGCAGCGAUGCCGCGUGAGGGAUGAAGGUUUUCGGAUCGUAAACCUCUGUCAGAAGGGAAGAAACUACGUUGUGCUAAUCAGCAGCGUACUGACGGUACCUUCAAAGGAAGCACCGGCUAACUCCGUGCCAGCCGCUGC
rnacentral:rRNA from 1 species